AAAUUGAAGAGUUUGAUCAUGGCUCAGAUUGAACGCUGGCGGCAGGCCUAACACAUGCAAGUCGAACGGUAACAGGAAGCAGCUUGCUGCUUUGCUGACGAGUGGCGGACGGGUGAGUAAUGUCUGGGAAACUGCCUGAUGGAGGGGGAUAACUACUGGAAACGGUGGCUAAUACCGCAUAACGUCGCAAGACCAAAGAGGGGGACUUUCGGGCCUCUUGCCAUCAGAUGUGCCCAGAUGGGAUUAGCUUGUUGGUGAGGUAACGGCUCACCAAGGCGACGAUCCCUAGCUGGUCUGAGAGGAUGACCAGCCACACUGGAACUGAGACACGGUCCAGACUCCUACGGGAGGCAGCAGUGGGGAAUAUUGCACAAUGGGCGCAAGCCUGAUGCAGCCAUGCCGCGUGUAUGAAGAAGGCCUUCGGGUUGUAAAGUACUUUCAGCGGGGAGGAAGGUGUUGUGGUUAAUAACCACAGCAAUUGACGUUACCCGCAGAAGAAGCACCGGCUAACUCCGUGCCAGCAGCCGCGGUAAUACGGAGGGUGCAAGCGUUAAUCGGAAUUACUGGGCGUAAAGCGCACGCAGGCGGUCUGUCAAGUCGGAUGUGAAAUCCCCGGGCUCAACCUGGGAACUGCAUUCGAAACUGGCAGGCUUGAGUCUUGUAGAGGGGGGUAGAAUUCCAGGUGUAGCGGUGAAAUGCGUAGAGAUCUGGAGGAAUACCGGUGGCGAAGGCGGCCCCCUGGACAAAGACUGACGCUCAGGUGCGAAAGCGUGGGGAGCAAACAGGAUUAGAUACCCUGGUAGUCCACGCCGUAAACGAUGUCUACUUGGAGGUUGUGCCCUUGAGGCGUGGCUUCCGGAGCUAACGCGUUAAGUAGACCGCCUGGGGAGUACGGCCGCAAGGUUAAAACUCAAAUGAAUUGACGGGGGCCCGCACAAGCGGUGGAGCAUGUGGUUUAAUUCGAUGCAACGCGAAGAACCUUACCUGGUCUUGACAUCCACAGAAGAAUCCAGAGAUGGAUUUGUGCCUUCGGGAACUGUGAGACAGGUGCUGCAUGGCUGUCGUCAGCUCGUGUUGUGAAAUGUUGGGUUAAGUCCCGCAACGAGCGCAACCCUUAUCCUUUGUUGCCAGCGAUUAGGUCGGGAACU
rnacentral:rRNA from 1 species